UCCAAGGAAGGCAGCAGGCGCGCAAAUUACCCAAUCCCGACUCGGGGAGGUAGUGACAAUAAAUACUGAUACAGGGCUCUUUUGGGUCUUGUAAUUGGAAUGAGUACAAUUUAAAUCCCUUAACGAGGAACAAUUGGAGGGCAAGUCUGGUGCCAGCAGCCGCGGUAAUUCCAGCUCCAAUAGCGUAUAUUAAAGUUGUUGCAGUUAAAAAGCUCGUAGUUGAACCUUGGGCCUGGCUGGCCGGUC
rnacentral:ncRNA from 1 species